ensembl:lncRNA
AGACGUUCCUGCAGGGAUCCCAGAUGGAUUUCCUUCCCCUGAGGGGAAUCCCGGAUGUUUCUGGAGCAUCCCUGGAGCAUUCAGGGCCUCCCCACGUCCACGGCAGUGCCCUUCCCAGUCCAUGCCAGCACUCCCAGCCCGUGGGACAGGCGGAUCCUGGAGCUGCUGCCCUGCCUGCGGAGCCCCUGGGCAGCCGGAGGGACAGAGGGGACAGGGGCACCCAGCAGGAGGCAGCAGGGCCCCGGGGCAGGGGGGAUCCAGCACCCCCAGCUCCAGAGGAGGGGCUGGGGAAGGGGCUGGAGCAGCCCUGGGGCACGGCUGGGGAGGAUGGACACUGCUGUGCUCGCUCCUCCCAGGACAGUGAUGGCCCAGCUGCUGGCUCUGAGCUGUCAGAGGGCAACAAGGAGUCCCCGGGGCAGGAGGAAUCCUCCUCCUCCUCCUCAGGAAACUCCUCCUAUACAACGGCACUGACCAAAUUCUCGGAGAAAAGUGAAAGGGGGAUGCGGCAGGAAAAGGUGAAAGCGGUUGGGAGUGGAGCAGGAGUCCUGGAGAAGCUGGAAAAUGGAAAGAAGGUGCCUGAGCUUGGUUUGCCGAGCAAUUUCUGUGACAUCCUGAGGAAAGGCCGUGCUACAAACUCGGCCGCUCGAGAUGUUCUUUGUGCAGCAGCUGCUGGGGCAGGCAGAGGAGCGCAGGAGGAACGUGGGGAGCAGCUCGGGGGCUCCCAGGGAGCUCUCCUGGCCCUUCAGCAGCAGCAGCCAGCAGGGAGGCUGGGCACAGAGGGGCUGGUCCCUGCUGUGCCACCCAGCCAGCCCCAGGAGGCUGCCCCGUGCCCUGGGCACUCCCCAGGGCAGGCAGAGCCCGCGGGGAGCAGGGAUGAACUGACUGCCUCCGACUGCUCCAUAGAGAGGGGACACAGAGCCACAGAGAUCUCCCCUUCCUUCAGUCUGGGAGCUGAGGGCUCCUUCUCCCUGCACCUGGCUCAUCCCAACUUCCAGUCCACUCCAGGGCUGUUCCUGAAGAAAGCUGGGAAGGCAGAAGGACGUGCUGGAGUUGUGGAGAUCCCUCCGGACCUUCAGGCCUCUCCUUCCCAUUCCAAUGAAGAAGCCCCAGGGGAGUCCCCUGCCCCUGGAUGCCCUGGGGAGCAGCAGCCUCCCCAGAGUGCUGUGGACAAGACCUGUGCAUGUCUGGAGUCCCUGGAGCUGGAAUCCCCGUGCCCUGGCAGGAUGCAGUCCCUGCCCUCGCUGGGCUUCCUGGAGAAGGUGGGAGCACGUCUGGAGUCCCUGGAGCUGGAAUCCCCGUGCCCUGGCAGGAUGCAGUCCCUGCCCUCGCUGGGCUUCCUGGAGAAGGUGGGAGCCUGGGACGUGGGCCAGCCGCAGCAGGGUCCCGAUGCCACCAGCUCGCGUGUCCCAGGUGCGGUUCCCCCUGCAAGGGAAGCCUCCAGUGCCCGCCCCAGGGCUUCCAGCUGUGUGCUGCCAGUGCAGAAAGGCCCUGGAGAUGCCGAGGGCCGCGCUGCUCCUGCCUGCGGGGGCACAGGGUCUCUGGGAAGUUUGCGUUUCCCCCUCCCAGAGGCGCUGCCUGCCCCUGCCCUGAGCAGGUCCCGGUCUGACAACGCCGUGAGCAGCAGCAGCAGAGCCCUGGCUGGAGCCAGCCCAGGGCAGCUCUGGGGGGCUCUGGGGGGCUCUGGCAGCUCCACCACUCGAGAGGUGGCUCCUGGAUCUCCAGCUGAAGGCGUGCGGAGCGCCGCGAGGCGAAGCUCGGCCCCGGCUGUGUUCGUGUCCAGUGCUGCUCAGCUCCUCAGAAAGGACGGGAGCUCCCCGGCUGAGGAGCACCAGGAGUGUGAGGAGAAGGGAAGUGAGUCCCUCAGCCUCAGCAUGCCCAGUGGUGACGAUAUCAUGGACAUCUUUGGAGCCAUUUCCUUGGAGAGUUUGAGUUUUCCUGAUGGUCCUGGGGAGCCUCAGGAGGCCCUGGUGGUGCCCGGACCCUGCCCCAGUGCAGGAGGGAGCAGCCCCAUCCCCCCUGGAGCAGCACUGGAGACUCCCAAGAAAGAAGAGUUGAAUAUUGAAGAAAGGAUCCCGGUAAGUUUGGUUCUAAUUCAAGCUCUGGUUCCAGAGUUAGCCAUUUUUUCCCCAGCAUUAGCCAUUUCUUUUCCCAGAGUUAUCGCUCUUUUUUUUCACUUAUAUUUUUUUUUCGAGUUUUCCAUUUCUUUUUUAGAGUUUUCCAUUUCUUUAUUAGAGUUUUCCUUUUUUUUUUCAGAGUUUUCAAUUUGUUUUUCACUUUUCCAUUUUGCCCCACUGCUCUUUUAGGAGAGGAUCUAAUCACUACAAGCCAAAACAAAUGGUUUUACACAGCCUUGUGCUACAGUGAAUUUCAUCCAUGCUACUGGUUCAGCUUAGCUUAAAUACAGGUGGAAAAAUAACUUUUAGUAACAUUUAACAUGGACAAAGACAGGGUUGGAUAUGGGAAAGGUCUCUUGUCAUUCCCAGGGGUAGCUGAGUGUCAGGGUGUAGGAAAUGGAUUUGUGGAGAACUCUCAAAGCCUGGCAGAAGGGUCACCCAGUGCAAACCUUGAGACAAGAAAUGCUGACUUAGAAAUGCCAUGGAAUGGGACAGCCAUUGUUGAGAGAUAAAUGGAACCAGAAACGAAUUUCAAAGGAUGGCCUUGCAAAUAAGCCUGGAUACUUCAGAGAAAUAGAGCUUUGAAAGAUGCAUUGUAGUGGGAC